GUGAGGAAUAUUGGUCAAUGGACGCGAGUCUGAACCAGCCAAGUAGCGUGAAGGAUGACUGCCCUAUGGGUUGUAAACUUCUUUUAUAAGGGAAUAAAGUGAGGGACGUGUCCCUUUUUGUAUGUACCUUAUGAAUAAGGAUCGGCUAACUCCGUGCCAGCAGCCGCGGUAAUACGGAGGAUCCAAGCGUUAUCCGGAUUUAUUGGGUUUAAAGGGAGCGUAGGUUGACAUAUAAGUCAGCUGUGAAAGUUUACGGCUCAACCGUGAAAUUGCAGUUGAUACUGUAUGUCUUGAGUGUACAAGAGGUGGGCGGAAUUCGUGGUGUAGCGGUGAAAUGCUUAGAUAUCACGAAGAACUCCAAUUGCGAAGGCAGCUCACUGGGGUACAACUGACACUGAGGCUCGAAAGUGUGGGUAUCAAACAGGG
rnacentral:rRNA from 1 species